rnacentral:rRNA from 1 species
ACAUGCAGUCGACGGUAACAGGCCGCAAGGUGCUGACGAGUGGCGAACGGGUGAGUAAUGCAUCGGAACGUGCCCAGUCGUGGGGGAUAACUGCUCGAAAGAGCAGCUAAUACCGCAUACGACCUGAGGGUGAAAGCGGGGGACCGAAAGGCCUCGCGCGAUUGGAGCGGCCGAUGUCAGAUUAGGUAGUUGGUGGGGUAAAGGCCUACCAAGCCGACGAUCUGUAGUUGGUCUGAGAGGACGACCAGCCACACUGGGACUGGGACACGGCCCAGACUCCUACGGGAGGCAGCAGUGGGGAAUUUUGGACAAUGGGGGCAACCCUGAUCCAGCAAUGCCGCGUGCAGGAAGAAGGCCUUCGGGUUGUAAACUGCUUUUGUCAGGGAAGAAAUCCUGUGGGUUAAUACCUCGUGGGGAUGACGGUACCUGAAGAAUAAGCACCGGCUAACUACGUGCCAGCAGCCGCGGUAAUACGUAGGGUGCGAGCGUUAAUCGGAAUUACUGGGCGUAAAGCGUGCGCAGGCGGUUUUGUAAGACAGAGGUGAAAUCCCCGGGCUCAACCUGGGAACUGCCUUUGUGACUGCAAGGCUGGAGUACGGCAGAGGGGGAUGGAAUUCCGCGUGUAGCAGUGAAAUGCGUAGAUAUGCGGAGGAACACCGAUGGCGAAUGCAAUCCCCUGGGCCUGUACUGACGCUCAUGCACGAAAGCGUGGGGAGCAAACA